AGUGAACGCUGGCGGUAGGCCUAACACAUGCGAGUCGAACGGCAGCACAGUAAGAGCUUGCUCUUACGGGUGGCGAGUGGCGGACGGGUGAGGAAUACAUCGGAAUCUACUUUUUCGUGGGGGAUAACGUAGGGAAACUUACGCUAAUACCGCAUACGACCUACGGGUGAAAGCAGGGGAUCUUCGGACCUUGCGCGAUUGAAUGAGCCGAUGUCGGAUUAGCUAGUUGGCGGGGUAAAGGCCCACCAAGGCGACGAUCCGUAGCUGGUCUGAGAGGAUGAUCAGCCACACUGGAACUGAGACACGGUCCAGACUCCUACGGGAGGCAGCAGUGGGGAAUAUUGGACAAUGGGCGCAAGCCUGAUCCAGCCAUACCGCGUGGGUGAAGAAGGCCUUCGGGUUGUAAAGCCCUUUCGUUGGGAAAGAAAAGCAGCAGGUUAAUACCCCGCUGUUCUGACGGUACCCAAAGAAUAAGCACCGGCUAACUUCGUG
rnacentral:rRNA from 1 species